ensembl:lncRNA
GGAGGGGAAAAGAGAGAGGAAGAAGAGAGUGAGGAGGGGGAAAAGAGAGAAGAGGAAGAAGAGAUUGAGGAGGGGGAAAAAGAGAGAGACAGGUAAGACAUUUCUUACAGUGCCUGCUGGUUAUUUUUUUAAAGCACUGUCCUCCACUGGUGUGGUGUACAUUAGCAGAGAUAGAGAGAGAAAAGAGAGAGAGAAAGGAGAGAGAAAAGAGAGUGAAGAGAAAGAGAGAAAAAAAGACAGAAGGGGAGAGAGAGAGAGAAUGAGAGAGAGAGACAGAGAGAGAGAGAGAGAGAGAGAGAGAGAGAGAGAGAGAGAGAGAGAGAGAGAGAGAAAAAAAUUCCAGAAAGCAACCUGGAACCAAAGUAUCCAAACACUCUUAGAUAACUUUCUGGAUACCACAUCCACUCACAUUAAAGCAGGCAUCUAUCUGGCAGAAAAAAACAUCAACUAUAUAUUCAGGCAAACGACAAAAGAAGCACAAUUGAAAUUGAUAAAAUAAAAAUUUAAAAAAAGACCACAGAUGAUAACUGGUUUGAUGCAGAUUGAUGUAGAAUUAUAAGGAAUAAACUUAGAACACUAUCCAACCAAAAGCACAGAGACCCAAAUAAUGGUGAAUUACGUCUUCAUUACUGUGAGACUUUAAAACUCUAUAAACGUACACCCAGAACCAAAAAAGCACAGUACAACAUCAAGCAGCUGACACUAAUUGAGGAGUCCAUAAACACAAACAACGUCUGGCAAAAUUGGAAAAAAAAAUAAAAAAUCUAAACGAGAGGAUUUAGCGUUACAAAAUGGUGACAUAUGGACAACCCAUUUUAAAACACUCUACAACACCGUUCAAAUUGACACAAACGCAGAACGCCAAAUUCAUGAGAAGUUGAAUGGAUUAGAAAAGGCUAUAAAGGACAAUCAAAAUCCACUGGACUCCCCAAUUACUGACCAGCUCUAUAAGAAACUUCAGGCUCUCAAAUUUAAAAAGGCAUGCGGACCUGAUGGCAUCCUAAAUGAGAUGCUCAAACUCACUAGUGC